rnacentral:misc_RNA from 1 species
AAAUUCGGUCUACCAAUCGGCGAAUGGUACCGAAUCAGCACCCAGGAUGUGAAGCUCGAAACCUACGAAGGCGAAGACGUGGUGGUAGUGCUAUUCCGCAUGGAGGAAGGGAGCCGACCUUCGAGGCCCCUGUACGGGUU